rnacentral:rRNA from 1 species
GACGAACGCUGGCGGCGUGCCUAAUACAUGCAAGUAGAACGCUGGAGGGGGAGCUUGCUCUUCUGGAUGAGUUGCGCACGGGUGAGUAACGCGUAGGUAACCUGCCUGGUAGCGGGGGAUAACUAUUGGCAACGAUAGCUAAUACCGCAUAACAGUAGAUGUUGCAUGACAUUUGCUUAAAAUGUGCAAUUGCAUCACUACCAGAUGGACCUGCGUUGUAUUAGCUAGUUGGUGGGGUAACGGCUCACCAAGGCGACGAUACAUAGACGACCUGAGAGGGUGAUCGGCUACACUGGGACGGGGAAACGGCCCAGACUCCUACGGGAGGCAGCAGUAGGGAAGCUUCGGCAAUGGACGGAAGUCUGACCGAGCAACGGCGCGUGAGGGAAGAAGGUUUUCGGAUCGUAAAGGUCUGUUGUAAGAGAAGAACGAGUGUUAGAGUGGAAAGUUCACACUGUGACGGUAUCUUACCAGAAAGGGACGGCUAACUACGUG